rnacentral:lncRNA from 1 species
GCUCCACGUUAUUAUCACAAUUUCUUUUAUUUUUCAUAACUUUAACCCAUAUUUGUCUAUAAAAAGCGGUCAUUUUCUUUAUUUCUUUUUUUGACUGUCAUUUUUUUUAAACAACAUAUUUCGAGAUCAGCAUAAUAUAUUUUAGAAAUUCAGAUUAUAAAUAACUCAAAUAUCAAUAAAUCACAAUUUAAGUCAAUAAAAGUAUUCAUUAAAAAUAGGCAUAUUCUCUUGUUUUAGUGCUAAACACAUAUAUUUGUCUUUUUAAAAAAGGUAUGAAAUAAUUAUAAUUAAUUCUAGCAAUAAUGAUUUGGUGUAGUAAACAUAGUCUCCUUCAUAAGGCUACUAUGUUUAACAAAUACAAUAAGUAGUUAAGUAAUAAGUAUAUGUAUCUGUUAUUUUAAUUCAAAGACAUGCACUUGGAGUG